UAAAUACUCCCUCCAUCCGAAAAAGCUUGUCCCAAGCUUGUUACUCAAAUGGAUGUAUCUAGCACUAACUUGGUGCUAGAUACAUCCAUUUGAGGGACAAGCUUUUUCGGACGGAGGGAGUAUAAG
rfam:Triticum aestivum genome assembly, contig: Triticum_aestivum_CS42_TGACv1_scaffold_556876_7AL